rnacentral:rRNA from 2 species
CGUACAACUCUGAACGGUGGAUCACUCGGCUCGUGU